rnacentral:rRNA from 1 species
GACGAACGCUGGCGGCGUGCUUAACACAUGCAAGUCGAACGGAAAGGCCCUGCUUUUGUGGGGUGCUCGAGUGGCGAACGGGUGAGUAACACGUGAGCAACCUGCCCUUGACUUUGGGAUAACUUCAGGAAACUGGGGCUAAUACCGGAUAGGAGCUCCUGCUGCAUGGUGGGGGUUGGAAAGUUUCGGCGGUUGGGGAUGGACUCGCGGCUUAUCAGCUUGUUGGUGGGGUAGUGGCUUACCAAGGCUUUGACGGGUAGCCGGCCUGAGAGGGUGACCGGCCACAUUGGGACUGAGAUACGGCCCAGACUCCUACGGGAGGCAGCAGUGGGGAAUAUUGCACAAUGGGCGGAAGCCUGAUGCAGCAACGCCGCGUGCGGGAUGACGGCCUUCGGGUUGUAAACCGCUUUCGCCUGUGACGAAGCGUGAGUGACGGUAAUGGGUAAAGAAGCACCGGCUAACUACGUGCCAGCAGCCGCGGUGAUACGUAGGGUGCGAGCGUUGUCCGGAUUUAUUGGGCGUAAAGGGCUCGUAGGUGGUUGAUCGCGUCGGAAGUGUAAUCUUGGGGCUUAACCCUGAGCGUGCUUUCGAUACGGGUUGACUUGAGGAAGGUAGGGGAGAAUGGAAUUCCUGGUGGAGCGGUGGAAUGCGCAGAUAUCAGGAGGAACACCAGUGGCGAAGGCGGUUCUCUGGGCCUUUCCUGACGCUGAGGAGCGAAAGCGUGGGGAGCGAACAGGCUUAGAUACCCUGGUAGUCCACGCUGUAAACGGUGGGUACUAGGUGUGGGGUCCAUUCCACGGGUUCCGUGCCGUAGCUAACGCUUUAAGUACCCCGCCUGGGGAGUACGGCCGCAAGGCUAAAGCUCAAAGGAAUUGACGGGGCCCCGCACAAGCGGCGGAGCAUGCGGAUUAAUUCGAUGCAACGCGUAGAACCUUACCUGGGUUUGACAUGGAUCGGGAGCGCUCAGAGAUGGGUGUGCCUCUUUUGGGGUCGGUUCACAGGUGGUGCAUGGCUGUCGUCAGCUCGUGUCGUGAGAUGUUGGGUUAAGUCCCGCAACGAGCGCAACCCUUGUUCACUGUUGCCAGCACGUUAUGGUGGGGACUCAGUGGAGACCGCCGGGGUCAACUCGGAGGAAGGUGGGGAUGGCGUCAAGUCAUCAUGCCCCUUAUGUCCAGGGCUUCACGCAUGCUACAAUGGCUGGUACAGAGAGUGGCGAGCCUGUGAGGGUGAGCGAAUCUCGGAAAGCCGGUCUCAGUUCGGAUUGGGGUCUGCAACUCGACCUCAUGAAGUCGGAGUCGCUAGUAAUCGCAGAUCAGCAACGCUGCGGUGAAUACGUUCCCGGG